GAUGAACGCUGGCGGCGUGCCUAACACAUGCAAGUCGAACGGAGUCCAGCCUUUAAGACCUUCGGGUCAAAGAGGGGAAGACUGAGUGGCGGACGGGUGAGUAACACGUGGGCAACCUGGCUCAUAGAGGGGGAUAACAGAGAGAAAUUUCUGCUAAUACCGCAUAAGCACACACUGCCGCAUGGCAGAGGGUGAAAAGAGAAUCGCUAUGAGAUGGACCCGCGUCUGAUUAGCCAGUUGGCAGGGUAAGAGCCUACCAAAGCGACGAUCAGUAGCCGAUCUGAGAGGAUGAACGGCCACAUUGGGACUGAGACACGGCCCAAACUCCUACGGGAGGCAGCAGUGGGGGAUAUUGCACAAUGGGGGGAACCCAGAUGCAGCGACGCCGCGUGAGUGAAGAAGUAUUUCGGUAUGUAAAGCUCUAUCAGCAGGGAAGAUAAUGACAGUACCUGAAUAAGAAGCCCCGGCUAACUACGUG
rnacentral:rRNA from 1 species